rnacentral:lncRNA from 1 species
UUUCUCUUAAGAAAAUGACAAUCUUUUCAAAAACAAAAAAAAAACUUUUCAUUUAUGCAUCUUUUAUUUUUACUUUUCUAAAAAAAAUCAAUCAUUCAAACAUGCAGAAUAAAUGAUAACCCCGUUGAAUCCAAUGACUUUACUACCUCUCAUAACUUUGACUCCCCUAUCUACCAAGCGGAAGAAGAGGGUGAAGAAGAUUGUUA